rnacentral:rRNA from 1 species
UACGGAGGGGGCUAGCGUUGUUCGGAAUUACUGGGCGUAAAGCGCACGUAGGCGGCUUUGUAAGUUAGAGGUGAAAGCCCGGAGCUCAACUCCGGAAUUGCCUUUAAGACUGCAUCGCUUGAAUCAUGGAGAGGUGAGUGGAAUUCCGAGUGUAGAGGUGAAAUUCGUAGAUAUUAGGAAGAACACCGGUGGCGAAGGCGGCCCACUGGUCCGGUACUGACGCUGAGGUGCGAAAGCGUGGGGAGCAAACAGG